AAAAGAAUCAAGGGAAUUCCCAGUCUCACUGCCAGCAGCCCUGGGUUCCAUCCCUGGUCCAGGAACUGAGAUCCAGCAUGCCAGAUGCAGACAGAUAAAUAGGUUUUAAAAAGACACUAUCUUCAAAAUAAACCCCAGUAUCUUCUCCCAAGAAAUUGUGCCUCCCAUUUCUCAGUGAAUGGAAACCAAAGGUUUACUUAGAUACUCAAGCUAAACACCUGGAAGGCAUCCUUUCCUUCACUUCUCUGGUUGGCAAGUCCUGUAGAUUUAUCCUUUAAAUAACUCUCUGAUCUGUCCAUAUGGGGUCUGCUAACUUAGUGCCCCUAGUUCUACUUUUGUCUCCUUACAGCCCACCAGAGAUAUUUUUAAAGAUGCAUCUGAUUAAGCCAUUCCCUUGCCUGAAGCCUCUAAGUGGCUUUUAUUCAUCUUUUAAACAAGUAUGUAUGGAACAGUAAUUGUGGACCAAGCACUAUGUAAAAAUACCUGAUGGUUAAAUACCUCAUUUAACCUUCACAGCGAUCUGCCAAGUUAAGACAGUAUUCCGUUUUUAAAAGAAAAAUUAGUUCAAAGACAGUAAGUUAUUUGCUCACCCUCAUCCACUUAACUGGGGCUCAGUCUCAAGUCUUUCUUUUUUCCAUUUUUACUCCAAGGCCAUUCUAAACCUUUAAAUAAAAAUCCAACGGUGCCACUCAAGACACUAAAAGGUGAGGGUCCAAGGUGACUUUUGUUUCACAAAACGACCACGAAGAACACGCUGUUCUCUAGGAGAAGGAAAGAGCCAUCGUCCCCAUGGGCAUGUGGAUGGCCGGCCUCCGGGGAAGACAGUCAUAACGGGAGCACAACAGUUGCCCCUUACCAGAGACGGACGCCGUAGGACAGGCACGGCGGCGCGUGCGCAGACCCAGCGGCGGCCGGCUCCGCCCCGCGCCCACUCUUUAUUCCCAGAAUCCCUCUGUGUCGCACCAGAACGGCAGAAUCGUUCGGGGACUGAGGAGUCGGGCGCGGCGGCGUCAAGAUGGCGGCUGCGGCUGUGGCGGCGGCGGCAGCGGCGGCCGCGGCAGCAUCUCUGCAGGUGCUGGAGAUGGAAAGCAUGGAGACAGCCGCCGCCGGCUCCGCGGGGCUAGCCGCCGAAGUCAGAGGUAGCGGCACGGUGGACUUCGGGCCUGGGCCUGGUUUGUCUGCAAUGGAGGCGAGCGGGGGCGACCCGGGCCCGGAGGCCGAGGAUUUCGAGUGCAGCUCUCACUGCUCGGAGCUGUCGUGGAGGCAGAACGAACAGCGGCGCCAGGGCCUCUUCUGCGACAUCACCUUGUGCUUCGGCGGUGCGGGAGGCCGAGAGUUCCGGGCCCACCGCUCGGUGCUGGCCGCCGCCACCGAGUACUUCACGCCCCUGCUCUCGGGUCAGUUCUCCGAGUCCCGCUCCGGCCGGGUGGAAAUGCGCAAAUGGAGCUCCGAGCCCGGGCCCGAACCUGACACGGUGGAAGCCGUUAUCGAAUACAUGUACACCGGGCGCAUCCGCGUCAGCACGGGCAGUGUGCACGAGGUGCUGGAGUUGGCCGACAGGUUCCUAUUAAUUCGUUUAAAAGAGUUUUGUGGAGAAUUUCUCAAGAAAAAGCUUCAUCUCUCUAAUUGUGUGGCCAUUCAUAGCUUAGCUCACAUGUAUACACUAAGCCAGCUUGCUCUGAAAGCGGCAGAUAUGAUACGGAGAAACUUCCACAAAGUAAUUCAGGAUGAGGAAUUUUAUACUUUACCUUUCCACCUCAUCCGAGAUUGGCUUUCGGACUUGGAGAUCACAGUUGAUUCCGAAGAGGUUCUGUUCGAAACAGUUUUGAAGUGGGUUCAGAGAAAUGCUGAAGAGAGAGAGAGAUACUUUGAAGAACUUUUUAAAUUGCUCAGAUUGUCCCAGAUGAAACCUACUUACCUUACUCGUCAUGUCAAACCAGAGAGGCUGGUGGCCAAUAAUGAAGUUUGCGUCAAGUUGGUGGCUGAUGCAGUGGAGAGGCACGCUCUGAGAGCUGAGAACAUACAGUCUGGCACAUUCCAGCAUCCUGCUUCUCAUGUCUCAUUAUUACCUCGCUAUGGGCAAAACAUGGACGUGAUCAUGGUUAUUGGAGGCGUGUCAGAAGGAGGGGACUAUUUAAGUGAAUGUGUGGGAUAUUUUGUCGAUGAGGACAGAUGGGUAAACCUACCCCAUAUCCAUAAUCACCUUGAUGGACAUGCCGUUGCAGUAACAGAAUCCUACGUGUAUGUUGCUGGGUCGAUGGAACCAGGGUUUGCUAAAACUGUGGAAAGGUAUAAUCCAAAUUUGAAUACCUGGGAACACGUUUGUAGUCUGAUGACAAGGAAGCAUUCUUUUGGGCUAACAGAAGUCAAGGGGAAGCUAUACAGCAUUGGAGGACAUGGCAACUUCAGUCCCGGUUUUAAAGAUGUGACUGUUUAUAAUCCCGAGCUAGAUAAAUGGCACAACUUGGAAUCAGCACCAAAGAUUCUUCGGGAUGUGAAAGCGCUCGCCAUUGAAGACCGGUUUGUGUACAUUGCUGCCCGCACUCCUGUGGACCGGGACACUGAAGAUGGAUUAAAGGCUGUCAUUACUUGCUAUGACACAGAGACUCGACAGUGGCAAGAUGUGGAAUCUUUGCCACUUAUUGACAAUUACUGCUUUUUCCAAAUGUCUGUGGUCAACUCAAACUUUUAUCAGACAGCCUCAUGCUGCCCCAAGAGUUAUUCUUUAGAAAAUGAAGAGGCGAUACGAAAAAUCGCCAACCAGGUUUCCGAUGAGAUCCUUGAAAGUUUACCCCCGGAAGUCCUAAGCAUUGAAGGAGCGGCCAUUUGCUAUUACAAAGAUGACGUUUUCAUUAUUGGAGGCUGGAAAAACAGUGAUGAUAUUGACAAACAGUAUAGGAAAGAAGCCUACAGAUACUGUGCUGAGAGAAAGCGGUGGAUGCUUCUUCCUCCCAUGCCACAACCCCGUUGUCGAGCCACUGCCUGCCACGUGAGAAUCCCAUACCGGUACUUGCAUGGCACUCAGAGAUAUCCUAUGCCUCAAAACUUAAUGUGGCAGAAGGACAGGAUCAGACAGAUGCAAGAAAUACAUCGACAUGCCCUAAACAUGCGGCGAGUGCCAAGCUCUCAGAUAGAAUGCUAGGUUCUUUGAUGCAUGCAGCUUAAAACAGACCUUUUCAUGAGGCUGAAGAUACCCAGACUGUUACUUGAAAAUGUAGGUCAAUAACUUAUUUUCUACAUGAAUGGAUUAUCACCCCAUAUAAAGGAAGUACAGUUAAAAACUGAAGAAUGGGAAAAUCAAUUCAGCAGCCUAGGCCAUGGCUGGAAAGAGAGGGUAAGUCCUUCCUUGCAUGAUCAUGUGUGCAGGGUUCCUGACCACUGAAUUCCUAAUUUUCAUAUUUGAAUUCACAUGUGUGAUUUCACAUCGAUAACUUGCAUUUCUAAAAUAUCCUAACUAACUUGUUAAUAAGGAAGAAAACCAGAUUUGCUUAAAUCUGUUCAAGGCUGACAUUCUGAAAUUUUAAACUAGAAAUAACAUCCCUCAGCAUUUGGAAAGGUUCUGAUUAUAAUGACCAGCCUGCAAUGGCUCUUUGGGAAAGAAAUUUCCUUUUUAAUGAAAACUGAAGAUUGCAUUUGACAAUUUAAGCAGUUAAAAAUACAGCUUUAAAAAGGCAGCUUAACAUGUAUUUAAGCAAACCUUUUUUGUUGUUGUUGCUUUUGUUUUGUAGAAGGAAAAGAGGGGAAUUGACUAUAUCAAAAAGUAAGAACUGUAUAUAACUUUAAGUGAGGCUGCUUAGAUCUUGGAAUGGAUACCCUUUGAGUAUACCUACCCCACCACGGUUUAAAAAAAAAAAAAGCCCGGUGUACAUAUUGAGAAUGUCAGUCAUGAGCUUAGUGUUUAAGUAAUACCUCUCACUUGCAGUUGUGAGUCUGAUUUGCAUGAUUAGUCUUGUGUAUCUUGAUAUACAACUUUGCUUUUGCUGUGCCAAUUCAAAAUUAUUUUACUUUAAAAAAAAAAACAAACCUAAAAUUUUAUGGACAUCAGUUUUGUCUUGAUUACUGGGUUUUGUAUAGUAUUUCUGGGACCAAAAAAUAAAUUGAAAUCUUUUUUUAUGUAGAACAGAGGUUUGAAGCUGGAAAAAUAAUGUUUAUGGCAGAUUUGUGUGCUUUUGUAUAUUUAACUCUUCAGGCUGCCGGUAAGGCAGUUUCUAGAGCACACUUACUUUUUUCCUCUUUUAUGUUUCUUGACUAGUGUAGCAUGUGGUAUGUUUAAAUACUUCAUUCUCUGCUUCAUAAUUCUAAUAUGAACACUAUACUAUAGGUAGACAGGUAAGCUCUUUGUACAUUUUAGUUACGUGGCCUAAUCAAGCAUAACCAAAGGGAUGUUUUUUGUACUUGCCUCAAACUAAGCUUAAAAAGGGUGUAUCAGCCACAUUUCAUGUCUUUUCCAAAUAUGUAGAAUUGUGAAGCAAGUCCUCUGCCAACACUAGAAAAAUAGGGUGUUUAUAGGUUGUCAUUUAACCUUAGACUAUUUGGAGAAACAAUUCAGUCUCUCCUUUUUCAAAUUGUUAAACAUUUUGGCACAGUUUAUCACUCCAGCUUGUUACUUUCUUGAGAAUAGUCCAUUUUUGUUUUUGUUAUAAUGCUUAUAUUAUACCAUGUUUUGGUCAUUGGAAACAAAACAGCUCAUAGCCCAGUGAUGUAAUACAGUGACAGUAACACCAUAUAGUAGUCAUUUGCUUCAAGGAACUUAAUUAGGUAGCCAAAUAACUGCUCUCUGUUGAUUACCUUUGUUGGGCUUGUCUUACUCUGUGUGGCCAUUACUGCGAAUGUCUGACCUUCACGUGAAGCACAUACAGUAGAGCACUUGUUAACUUAAUCUUCAGCCUAGUGCACUUGCACUCAUUGAAAAGCAGUGCUUGCUGUGUGGUUGAAGAUCUUAUGGUCUAUGUGCAAGGGCUCAUUGAGUUAUAUGUAAAAUAAAUACUUAGUUCAAGUUGAUACAGUGAGUUUUCUGGGCUAGCAGUAUUGAGCCCCUGUCUUACCGCAAGUAUAAUCUUGACUGUCUCCCUUUAAUUAAGUCAGAGAUGUAGAAUUUAGGACAGUCUGAGACAUUACCUUGUAAAAUAGCUUGUUUUAUGUUUCUAAAGCUACCUUGUUCUGUGUUAGAGCUACUAAUCGUCUUGAUGUAAGUUUUAAAUAAACGUAUUUCUUUAGAGCUGA